rnacentral:lncRNA from 1 species
UCCAGCGACAACAGAGAACCUCCUGAGAGGUUCGGUAGAAUCUCCUUGUCAGGGGAUUCGGGUUUCGGUCCCACCCCUGAGAGGGAGUCCUCCCACACUCAAGCCCUUCCUUUUCUUCCCUCUCCCCUGGUUCUCUCCUGAGCCCGCCCUUUGCCCUAGUUUCUCCUCUUAGGGGUUGGGGUUGGGGGGAAUGGAGCUGGGCUUGCCAGUAGGGUUGUCAUAUUUAGCAGUAAAAAUACAGGAUGCUAGUUCAAAUUUAAAUUUCACAUAAACAAUACAUAAUUCUUUAGUAUAAUAUGUGUCCGAUAUCAAAUAAAAUUAAAAUAUAAAAACAUCAUUUGUUAACUGUCUGAAAUUUAACUGGGCAUCCUGUUUUUUACCUGACAAUCCUAGGCAAAAAUAGCAUUUAUGUACCUCCUAUUUACGGUAUCCUUUCAUAGCACUCCCAGUAUGGGGAGUGUUAUAAUCCAUGUUCUGAUGAACCCCAAAGGGUCUUGCCCAAGGUUAUGCAACUAGUAAGUAACCAGGCUGGGAUACCUUAAAAGCCCAUUUCAAUUCUGCUAUCUCUCGUCAGGUGUGCAAUUCAAGGAAAGACUCCUGGAGAGCUCGUCCAAUUGUUAGAAUGAAUCUCCUUAAUAAAAGCCAAUUUAUCUUUCAGAGGGGCUAUAGAGUUGUUUUAUAUUCAGGUUCUCUGCUGUGGCAUUUACCUUAUAUUUGGGGGAAGAAACUGUAUUAAACUGUCAAGGAAUAUUGAUUUACUAUAUGAUGAUGAAAGUAUAUUUUAUAUUAUUAAAUCACAAUAGCAUAUCAUUUGACUUUGACAUCAGUGAACAAGGUUAUGUUCAUACAGUAGACCCAUACAUCUCUGUAAACAUAGUGAUUAAGGCAGUAUAGGGUAUUCUGAAAUGAGACAUACCUCGGUUCAAAGCCUAGCUUCACGAACACUUUGAUGCAGUAGGUAAGUUACAGAAUCUCUCUGGGCCUCUGUUUGCUCUUUUUAAAAAAGAAAUAGUAAUUAUAACCACUUCGUAGGGUUGUUGUACUAAAUUCUUAUCAAGUGCCUGGAACAUUUAAAUUAAUUAAUUUUAGCUAUGAUUUGCCAUUAUACUUUGAGUAUAAUGUGGAUUUUGGCAUAAAUCAUUAGAUAAUUAAGUGUUUUAAUUUUAGUUUUAAGUUGAAAAAAGCCAGUAAUUAAGAAUAUUAUGAAUAUUGUGAAUUUCAGUGAAAUGUACUAUUCAAUAAUAAAAGAGAUAUUUUAGAUAAUAUACCAGUUUCACUAAAUCAACUAUCUGUAAGCCAAGUUAAUAGAAUAAAAUAUUUGUAUAUCAGUCUCAGUAAUUGCUCCUCAUGUAUAAUUUUAUAUGAUUUUCAUUUUCAUUGUGUUAUAAACAGGAAGAAAACUUACCAAGCACCAAAGGAGAGAAAAUAACUACAGGGUGAGGGGUAAAGCCAGAAAAUAGGUCUAUGAUCAGUGGCUGUUUAUGGUGAGGUAGACUUAGUAUGUUUUAAAAACCAAAUGUCAAGCUUUGUAGGAAUUUUAUAUUUCUUUGUAUAUUGUCUUAUUUCCUUAGUGUUUACAGUGUUAACUUAGUUCACUUACAAACUAUUCUCUAAAAUUCCUCUUGGGAACUUUUUUCAGUUUUUCUCUAAAAAACUACAAAAGCUUUCUACUACCUUGAAGGGAAUGUGGAAUUGUGAAAAUUGAAAUUAACAACUAUGGACUAUUAUCCAAAUAAUUGUAAACAAGUCACUGAACACAUCUGAGCCUUGCUUUAUCUCUAAAAUCAAAACAAAUGAAAACCUACCCCACCAUCCCCAAGGUUUAUAAAUGCUACCGAUUACUGUAACUCUUAUCCACCCGAAAAAAUUCCUCCAUGGAUGAAUCCAACUAUUUGGAUUUUUUGUUCCUGCUGCAGGCUUCCCAGAAGAGCUGGAGAAACUUUCACACUGGAAAGACUUGGUACUAAAAUAAAUUCAUGGUAGUCACCUUCACCUGGACUUUCACACCGCACAGCAGGCCCACUGUGUUUCUCUAACCACUCAUUCUUCCUUUUUAUGCAAUUGCGGUUUCAAAUCCUCUUCACUUCUUUCAAGCUUCUGACAUCCUUUGAAAGCCAUUCUCACUAAGUGACCUCUGUGUUAUUGAGAAAAUUGAGUACCUGAGCUUCUGAAUUUCCUGCUGGAAAAUCUGCCCACUGACCUUCAUCUGCAUCCAUCCAGCUUUCACUGAAUCCUAGUACCUUUGCCUGUGUUCUGAAUUCUUCCUUACUAUCUCAGGGACCUUUAUCAUCAGUUAUCCCUUAUGUCACCUGGAUGGUCAGCCACUGCCUCUAAAUCCUUCCCAUCCGCAUGUAAAUAUUCAUUCCUGCAGUCCCUUCUUCAGGGAACAGUUGUCAGUUACCAUUCUUCCACCCAUCUAAUACUCGAUUUCUUCUCCCAUUUGUAAUCAGUUUUAAAGAACCGUCUGCCCUGAUGUUUCUAUUUCUUUACUUCCCAUUCUCUUGGCAACCUGUUCCCGUUGUUCUUCCAUCCUCACCCCUCUCCUGAAACUAUUCCUGCUAAGGUCCCAAUAGUUUCCUUGUCCCUUAAUCCCAUGGACUUCUGACCUGUUAGGCAACAUUUCAUACCCUAAACCAGUGUUCGGGCAAACUGUAGCAUGUGGACCAAAUAUAGCUUCAGCAUGUUCUUAUAUGGCCUUUGAACUAAAAUAUUUUCAUCUAUCUGGCUCUUUACAGAAAAAGAUUGCCAACCCCUUCUAUAGUUCACUCCCUCCUUUUAAAAAUAAAUUCUUCUUUUGGCUCUUCCCUUAUAAGUAAGUUUUGUUUUCUUUGUACUCUUCUCUCCUUUCUUUCUCAGUCUCUCUGUGGUUACCAGACCCUUAGAUGUUGGAAUUCCUCAACACUUUAUGUUGGAAGUGGGAUCUUCUGGAUCUCAUCUACUCCCAAACUUCUACCUCACAUUUUCUUCUGAACAUCAUACAUGUGUAUUCAACUGCCUACUCAACCUCUCCACUUAAUGUGCUACAGAUAGCCCAAACUCAAUAUAUUUGAAACUGAACUCACAAUCCUGUGCUAACCCUGCCUUUCCUACAGACUGUCAUAACCCAAUAGAGUAUAAAGCUGUUGCUUAUAAAGUUAAUGUCAGAAAUCUGGGAGUCUUUGAACAUCUCUUCCUCUCCUCAUCUUGUUCCACUCACAUCUAAGUAAUCACCAAAUGCUAUUAAUUGUAUUACCUGCUUGGUUUUUAAUCUACUUCAUUCAUUCUGCCCAAUACCACCCUAAAGUCAAAAACACCAUCAUCUGGUCAAAUGCUUUAACCUAAGUAGCCUUCCUCUUUUUCUUUAAAAAAAAUUUUUUUGUAAUUGAAUAAUUCUCAUACCAUAUGGGUUACCCUAAAAUUUACAAUUUAGUAGUUCUUAGUUUAUUCAAGAUUCAAACAUUAGUGGUACAUAUCUGGUAUUUUUGCCAUAAGCAUCUUUGCUGUAGACAUUUUUGCUGCAUAGCUAAGUGGCUUUAGAGCAAUUUUGCCUUAAAACAUAAGAUAACUGGUUGACAGUUUGGUUUCAAAUGAUUGACACUUAGUUUCAUUUCUCCAUUGACACAGUUCUCCCAUUUUUAUAUUACAUAAAUCCUAGCCCUCAUAAGGAUCGACACAAUGACAAGUAGAUAUGGUAGUAUUAAAAUAGUGGAUGAAAACUGUAUAUCAACUUGAUGGGAAAUAUGGUGAUAAAACUUACCGGAACUGUUAAAUAAGAAUGUAAAGACAGAUUGCAUACUAUACCAGAAAAUGAUAACUCACAAAGCUCAGUUAUAAUUGAGUAUUUGGAAACUGAUACCUCUUUUUUUUCCUUUUUUUGUGCUUUUCAGGGCUGCACCCACGGCGUAUGGAGGUUCCCAGGCUAGGGGUCUAAUCAGAGCUAUAGCUGCCGGCCUACACCAUAGCCACAGCAACACCAGAUACGAGCCUCGUCUGCAACCUACAUCACAGUUCAUGGCAGCGCCGGAUCCUUAACCCAAUGAGCAAGGCCAGGGAUCGAACCCGCAAUCUCAUGGUUCCUAGUCGGAUUUGUUUCUGCUGUGCCACAGUGGGUACUCCUGAUACCUCUCUUAAUGAAAGAAGAAAGUUUAGUGAAAAAGAAAAGGUGCUAUGCCGAAUGAGGAGAGACAUCAACUGCAAAAUAACAAAGUAAAAUGUAUGUGUAAAAUACAUUCUCUUACAUCAUAGUACAAUUAUCAAAAUCAAGAAAUUAAUUUUGAUGUAAUAUUAUCUAAUCUGCUGACCUUAUUAAGAUUUAGCCAGUUGUCAAACUAACGUGUAUGUGUAUUUUACAAAAAAUAAAAAUAAAAGAACAGGGAGUUCCCGUCGUGGCGCAAUGGUUAACGAAUCCGACUAGGAACCAUGAGGUUGCGGGUUCGGUCCCUGCCCUUGCUCAGUGGGUUAACGAUCCGGCGUUGCCGUGAGCUGUGGUGUAGGUUGCAGACGCGGCUCGGAUCCCGCGUUGCUGUGGCUCUGGCGUAGGCCGGCGGCUACAGCUCCGAUUCAACCCCUAGCCUGGGAACCUCCAUAUGCCGCGGGAGCGGCCCAAGAAAUAGCAACAACAACAACAACAAAAAGACAAAAAUAAAUAAAUAAAUAAAUAAAAGAGCAGAACAGAAAAAAUGGGGUUUUAGUGGUCUAGAAUCUAAUUCAGUUUCACACAUUGGAUUUAGUCACCAUGUCUCUUUGGUCUGCCUCAUUCUGGAACACUUCCUCACUCUUUGUCUUUAAUAAGACUAGAUGAUGACGGGAGUUUUGGUAUUCAUGAUGCAUCAGCAAUGGAGAGCUCUACUUGAUACUCAAAACAAGAGGAGAGGAUGGUGUCACUCACUGAGCAUGCAGUUUUGGCAUUUGGAGACUAUAUGGGAGCAACUUGUCUGUGCCUGCCUUGUGUGGAAUCAGUGCUCCCAAUGAAAUGCAAAACCUGCAGGCUGAUAGAGGAGGCAGCACACAACGUCCAGGGAGAGCAUUGAUAUGUUAAAUAGAAGAUAUCUUUUCUCUAGAAGAAAGUCUUGGCAACCCACUGUUAAGUAAGACUUUUUUUCGUUUUACAAAAUGGAUCAAGAUGCUUGUUUUGGAUGAAUUCAGUAAAAAUGUUGAGCCAAAGGAUUAAAGGUCAAAUCCAUGAGAUUUACCGGAAAUCAAAUCUGGAUUCAGGCUGUAUUGUUUUCUGCCUUAAUGCUAAUCGAUAUAUUGAAAAUCAUCAAAAAGUUCCCAAGAGAUCCAUUUCAAAUUCCGGUGAAGAAGGAAGAACUGAACUUUGAAAAGGCCAAAAUGUUACAAUAAUUUUGAAAGAGGAAUUGUUCAGAGUUGAUUUGGGAGGAAAGCAAUGGCCGUAAGUGUUGAAGAAGACAAGGAGGUUCUUUGUGAUACUGAUACUUUCUACAAUACUGCAGUGGAGGAAACGCCAGUGGGUAUGACGGACCUUAUUAAAUCCUGGGAUGAAAUGGUUUUGAAUGUGAUGCUUGCUGUUGCAGUGCAGGUGAUCAUGAUGUGCACUGUGCUUCUUUUGCAGGGGGUGGGGGGCUUGCGGGAGGAAUAUUUGAAGCUUGUUUCAAUGCUCAUAACGGAUCAAAAAUAUAGAUUUUGCUGCAAAGCAACUUUAGUCAUGAGCUCUUUUGAGGAAAGUCAUUGCCUUUAUCCUCUUUAGAGUUAGAUUGUUGGUUGGGUCUAAGGGAUUGUGAACAUCUUCCUUAGCAAUUUAUUUCCUAGUUAUCUAAAUAAUAAUUAUAUUGAGUAUUUGUUAUCAUCUAAUAAUAUACUUACAGACUGAAAGAUAUGUGCCUUCAGUGUUUAAACUAGUGUAUCUGCCAUUAUUGUGUUAGUCAUCAGGCUGAGUAGAAUGAACUUUAAAAUUAUUUUUUAAGAAAAUAUUUGAAUUCAUUUUGUUUGGUAUCAUUUUUAUUCAGUAAGGCAUUUAUUUUGUUAGUGGUAAGUGUAAACUAGAGUCUUUUGCUAAGCACCAGCAACAAUCAUAUCCUAUGGUUAAAUCUCAGAAAAAUCGCUAUAUUGCAUAUUGAAUGUUCAGCAAAUUACAAUGAAGUAUAUUUUUCU